CUUGGAAGGCCAGAAAUGGCUAUCCUUAUCCAUCUGCUUCUUCCUCCGACGACGACUAUCGUCUUCUCCAACUCAUUUUCUACAAAGCUAAUCCUACGAAGUCCUAAUCACACGCGGCGUGUGAUUUGCAGUGUCUCUAAAUCUUCAGAGGUUAAAUCAGAUGAAGGAGCUUCGAAGUUGGAGUAUAAGCCAGGACUUCUCGACGAUUUCUUCAUGCAAUCGUUCCGGAACAAAUUGGUCGAGUAUGUGUAACAGGAAGUCGGGUCGGAUUCAGAGAAACCCGGGUACGUUGGACUUAUUGAGUUGGUGAAGCUUCUCUUGUUGAAAGGUCGUACUAGGUCGGAGACAAGUGAUGCUGCGGUUCGAAUAUUGAAAUCGUUGUUUCCUCCACUCAUUUUAGAGCUUUACAAGCUUCUCAUAGCUCCUAUAGCACAAGGGAAAUUAGCUGCUUUGAUGGUUGCGAGAGUUACUGUACUAACCUGUCAAUGGCUCAUGGGACCGAGCAAAGUAAACAUCAUCGAUCUUCCUAAUGGAGAAUCUUGGGAUAGCGGGGUUUUCGUGGAAAAAUGUCAGUAUCUAGAAGAAAGCAAGUGUGUAGGAGUAUGCAUUAAUACAUGUAAACUACCUACUCAGACAUUCUUUAAAGACUACAUGGGAGUUCCUUUGGUGAUGGAACCAAACUUCAAAGAUUAUAGUUGCCAGUUUAAAUUUGGAGUAGCUCCACCGGAGGAUGAUGGCAAUGUUAAUGAACCAUGUUUUGAGACAUGCUCAAUCGCAGGCCGCCGGAAAUUAAAAUCUGGGGAGUGUCCUUUGGCGUAAAUCUGUCGUUUGUUUGUCCAUACACUGACAUUUUAUGUUGUGUAACUUGUGUAUAUCAACUUUAAAAGGUUUAGACUGAAAUCUAAUCCAAUUUAUAUGAGAAAGGUUGGACAUGUGAGUUUUUACA